rnacentral:tRNA from 1 species
GCCUAGGUAGCUCAGUUGGUAGAGCAGGGGACUGAAAAUCCUCGUGUCGGUGGUUCAAUUCCGCCCCUGGGCACCA